GCUCGGAUGGUGGAAUUGGUAGACACAAGGGACUUAAAAUCCCUUGGGCUUAGGCCCGUGCAGGUUCAAGUCCUGUUCCGAGCA
rnacentral:tRNA from 1 species